rnacentral:rRNA from 1 species
AACAUGGCGGCGUACUAUAAUGCAGUCGAGCGAUGGAUUAAGAGCUUGCUCUUAUGAAGUUAGCGGCGGACGGGUGAGUAACACGUGGGUAACCUGCCCAUAAGACUGGGAUAACUCCGGGAAACCGGGGCUAAUACCGGAUAACAUUUUGAACCGCAUGGUUCGAAAUUGAAAGGCGGCUUCGGCUGUCACUUAUGGAUGGACCCGCGUCGCAUUAGCUAGUUGGUGAGGUAACGGCUCACCAAGGCAACGAUGCGUAGCCGACCUGAGAGGGUGAUCGGCCACACUGGGACUGAGACACGGCCCAGACUCCUACGGGAGGCAGCAGUAGGGAAUCUUCCGCAAUGGACGAAAGUCUGACGGAGCAACGCCGCGUGAGUGAUGAAGGCUUUCGGGUCGUAAAACUCUGUUGUUAGGGAAGAACAAGUGCUAGUUGAAUAAGCUGGCACCUUGACGGUACCUAACCAGAAAGCCACGGCUAACUACGUGCCAGCAGCCGCGGUAAUACGUAGGUGGCAAGCGUUAUCCGGAAUUAUUGGGCGUAAAGCGCGCGCAGGUGGUUUCUUAAGUCUGAUGUGAAAGCCCACGGCUCAACCGUGGAGGGUCAUUGAAACUGGGAGACUUGAGUGCAGAAGAGGAAAGUGGAAUUCCAUGUGUAGCGGUGAAAUGCGUAGAGAUAUGGAGGAACACCAGUGGCGAAGGCGACUUUCUGGUCUGUAACUGACACUGAGGCGCGAAAGCGUGGGGGAGCAAACAGGAUUAGAUACCCUGGGUAGUCCACGCCGUAAACGAUGAGUGCUAAGUGUUAGAGGGUUUCCGCCCUUUAGUGCUGAAGUUAACGCAUUAAGCACUCCGCCUGGGGAGUACGGCCGCAAGGCUGAAACUCAAAGGAAUUGACGGGGGCCCGCACAAGCGGUGGAGCAUGGUGGUUUAAUUUCGAAGCAACGCGAAGAACCUUAACCAGGUCUUGACAUCCUCCUGACAACCCUAAGAGAAUAGGGGCUUCCUCCC